CCUGGAGACUCCUACGGGAGGCAGCAGUAGGGAAUCUUCCGCAAUGGACGCAAGUCUGACGGAGCAACGCCGCGUGAGUGAAGAAGGUCUUCGGAUCGUAAAGCUCUGUUGUUAGAGAAGAACAGCGCAUAGAGUAACUGUUAUGCGUGUGACGGUAUCUAACCAGAAAGCCACGGCUAACUACGUGCCAGCAGCCGCGGUAAUACGUAGGUGGCGAGCGUUGUCCGGAUUUAUUGGGCGUAAAGGGAGUGUAGGCGGUCUUUUAAGUCUGAUGUGAAAGCCCACGGCUCAACCGUGGAGGGUCAUUGGAAACUGGGAGACUUGAGUGCAGAAGAGGAGAGCGGAAUUCCAUGUGUAGCGGUGAAAUGCGUAGAUAUAUGGAGGAACACCAGUGGCGAAGGCGGCUCUCUGGUCUGUAACUGACGCUGAGGCUCGAAAGCGUGGGGAGCAAACAGGAUUAGAUACCCUUGUAGUCC
rnacentral:rRNA from 1 species